CACUCAGUGGGCUUGAUGUGGAUGCUGGGCGGGAAAGUUCUGCGCAUGCGUGGCACCAUUUCCCACGAACACCCAUGAGAGGUCAUGCCUGAUCUCUACUUCUACAGAGACCCUGAAGAGAUUGAAAAAGAAGAGCAGGCUGCUGCUGAAAAGCCUGUGACCAAGGAGGAGUUUCAGGGCGAAUGGACUACUCCGGCUCCUGAGUUAUCUGCUCCUCAGCCUGAGGUUGCAGACUGGUCUGAUGGCGUGCAGAUGCCCUCUGUGCCUAUUCAGCAGUUCCCUACUGAGGACUGGAGCACCCAGCCUGCCACGGAAGACUGGUCUGCAGCUCCAACUGCUCAGGCCACUGAAUGGGUCGGAGCAACCACUGAAUGGUCUUAAGCUGUUCUUGUACCGGCUCUUAAGCAACAUGGAAGUAAGGUUGAUGGAAAAUAAACAUCAGUUUCUAAGAA